AUCAUUUCUUCUUGGCAGCUGCUGCUAUCGAAGAAAAACAAGACAGAAAACUUCAACGCCGGGCCAUAAGGGAUGCAUGCAACCCGUUUGAUAAGCCCGACGAGGAGUUAUGGCGCAUAUAUAGGGUGCGGAAAGAAUUAGCACUCUAUGUGUGCUGAACUUGACGCCGACCUCAAGCCUCAACAUGGCGAUGGAUUGCCGGCACAUCUUAAAGUAAAGAUAUAAUGUUGCACUAUUCCUCAAAUCAUUCCCGUUACCUUUACCACCUUGAUCAUAAUCAUUAUUUCAUAAUGAUAUACCUACUUACAAGUCUUUGUUUUAGGUUUUAACAUCACUGCACCUAUUGGCUGACGGUAGCUACUAACGGGGAACUGGACAAGACCAUGGCUUGUCCAUUGCUCAGUCUACCGUCAGCCGGUACUUGGAUCAAUUUGUAAUUGUGGUGAAUAGAAGGUAUGUCCAUUUUGGUACAGAAUACCACUGACACCGGAGAUAAGAAGGUAAAAAAACACGAGUAUGGAUGUGCAGUGAGACAUAUGAAGGCAAAAAGACGCAGUCAGUAACAAAAUAUUUAUAUUUAUUUUCUUACGUAGUUUUUUAGGGACCAUGAAGUACAAAUGAGGCUUGAAUGUGGAUUUUUGUGGUAUUUGUAUUUGAAGUGUUUCUACCUAAAUAUUUCAAUGCAGAAUCAUACCUUAUUUUUGUUAUUAUAUGCAACUUCUUUACCACUCUUACAAAUGUAUUUAUGUAAGUAUUAUUCAAUGCUACGUGUAGCUAAAGUACCAAAUCAUGAAAGUGUUGGAUUGUUUACAGACUCAAGGACACUUGGAUAGUCUUCCCAGAAAAUGAGAGGUGUUCAGGAGGCAUAUGGGGUUGCUAACAUUUUAGGCACAGUAGACUGCACCCGAGUAAAAAUAUUUCCAUAACCUUUACCGCAUGGCGUACAGUUUCUAAACAGAAAAGGAAUUCAUUCGCUAAACGUUCAGUUGAAAUCUUCCAAUAAAAGGCGAACCUGAAGCGGAAAUGGAAGGGGGCGCUGCUCGAGGGAUGCAUUACAUGCAGAGAAGCGUGCCCUAUUAAUAAAUAAAUAUUUCGCCUAGUAUUAUUUUA